AAGCGUAGAAAUAAUUUCGUGAGCGACUACAUGCCAAACGAUCUAUCUUUUCUAUUUUAAUUUUCUCUAUUCUGCCACAAUAAUCUCCCGGCGCUGCUUAUACAUUACUUUGAGAGAAGAUCCGGGCACGCAACUCCGGAGAGUGACGGUCUAGUUCUAAGAUAAAAAUUUCAACAUUUUUUAUUAAAUGCAUUUACAAUAUGACCCUUGAUCGUUAAUUUAAUUAAAAAUUUGGAGAAUUACAACAUUUGUCAUAAUAUGACGUAAAAGAUAAGAAUACAAUAUAAAAAUAUAAAACAUCUAGAUAUAGACUAUCAACGAAUCAAUCGUGAAAAUUUUCCAUCGGCAAUUGGCGACUAAAUUUGGUACGCGCUGUGUCCACGUCUGCAUAUCAACAGACGCACCGCGAUGCAAAUUUGCAACUCGUUGCGCAACCACGUUGAACGGUCGUAAAAAUACAGUCAGACUAUAUCGAUCGAUGUGUAAUCGAUGAAUCUAAUAAUGGCCGGGCGCGAUUAUUCAAGAUCGACGCCGGUGCACGCGCAAACCGAUCGCGAAAUCAACGCCGGCUGGGAAAGAUAUUUUCCCCUGGCUGGGUUUGGUUGAAGUUGGUUGGUGAACUGUUCGCGGUGGUAGGCGGCGAGCGUGGGUCUAUCCGCCGCGAUUUAAAUAUUUAACUCUGCUUAAACGUCAGCGAGCCAGCGCAACGCUGGCAUUACUCGCGUGAGCAAUAAUUCCCGUCCGCGAGUAAACUCGCUUGGGAAAAUCGAGCGACCGCGUGAACCAUCCUCCCAUCUACUUGUAACUGGCUGGCGGGAACGCGCUGGGAAAAUUUCAUUUUGUAUAUUUGUUGCAAAUAAAGUAACAAAGGAGAAAACAAAGAGAAGAGAAAAUGGAGAAAAUGUUCAUUAUUUAGAUUUAUGUAUAUGACCCGGCUUUUUGAUAUUGAGAACAGAAAAUGAAUAUAAAAUAUUCACUCUGUCGAUGAUCGUGCACUACCUGGAUUUGAUGAAAUUGAUGAUGCACCACAUGUGACUUAGAAUGAAAUCGUUAUCAAUUAGCAGUUAAGAAACUAAAAAAAUGUAACCAUGUGAAAGUAGGUUCCAAUAUACAUGCAUAGACUGGACGCACACAUCUAGGCAAGAAUUUGAAAUCAUUUUUCCAAUCGUACAUCUAUCAUUAAUAAUAUUCUUUAAUUUAAUGAAAUCGGUUAUAUGUAUUUAGAACAACAAAGUCGGUUACAUUAA